rnacentral:misc_RNA from 1 species
UGGUUCUGGCAUCGAUGAAGAACGCAGCGAAAUGCGAUAAGUAAUGUGAAUUGCAGAAUUUAGUGAAUCAUCGAAUCUUUGAACGCACAUUGCGCCCUUUGGUAUUCCGAGGGGCACGCCUGUUCGAGCGUCAUUUAAACCAUCAAGCCUAGCUUGGUCUUGGACGAGGUCGAGUGACCCGUCUGUAACCCGUUGGCGGUGCAGUCCGGCUUCAAGCGUAGCAAAAAUUUCGCUUUAGGAGUCCGUGGCGGUACCUGCCAGGUAAUUACAUCUCAAAGUUUGACCUCGGAUCAGGUGAGGAUACCCGCUGA